AGACGUCUACAUUAGAUACCCGGGUAGUCCCAGCCGUAAACUAUGCGCGUUAGGUGUAUCGGUGACCACGAGUCACCGAGGUGCCGAAGGGAAACCGUGAAACGUGCCGCCUGGGAAGUACGGUCGCAAGGCUGAAACUUAAAGGAAUUGGCGGGGAGCACCACAACGGGUGGAGCCUGAACGGUUUAAUUGGACUCAACGCCGGGAAGCUCACCGGAUAAGACAGCGGAAUGAUUGCCGGGCUGAAGACUCUGCAUGACUAGCUG
rnacentral:rRNA from 1 species